GAAUUCACUAGUGAUUCAGGCCUAACACAUGCAAGUCGAGCGAUUCUCUUCGGAGAAGAGCGGCGGACGGGUGAGUAACGCGUGGGUAACCUGCCCUGUACACACGGAUAACAUACCGAAAGGUAUGCUAAUACGAGAUAAUAUACUUUUAUCGCAUGGUAGAAGUAUCAAAGCUCCGGCGGUACAGGAUGGACCCGCGUCUGAUUAGCUAGUUGGUAAGGUAACGGCUUACCAAGGCGACGAUCAGUAGCCGACCUGAGAGGGUGAUCGGCCACAUUGGAACUGAGACACGGUCCAAACUCCUACGGGAGGCAGCAGUGGGGAAUAUUGCAAAGGGGGCGAAAGCCUG
rnacentral:rRNA from 1 species